rnacentral:tRNA from 1 species
CGGUUAGCACUCUGGACUCUGAAUCCAGCGAUCCGAGUUCAAAUCUCGGUGAGACCU